UCCUAAGUUUAUUCACAGCAAUCCGUACCGCAAACCAACUCAGGUGGGUGAGGAGAACAAUCCUAAGGCGCUCGAGAGAACUCUGGCCAAGGAACUCGGCAAAAUAACCCCGUAACUUCGGAAGAAGGGGUGCUCUCUAGGGUGACAUGUUUAACAUAUGAAGCCCCGGGGAGCCGCAGUGAAUUGGUGGUGGCGACUGUUUACUAAAAACAUAGGUCUGUGCGAAGUCCUAAAGACGACGUAUACGGACUGACGCCUGCCCGGUGCUGGAAGGUUAAAAGGAGGGGUCAGCGCAAGCAAAGCUCCGAAUUGAAGCCCCAGUAAACGGCGGCCGUAACUAUAACGGUCCUAAGGUAGCGAAAUUCCUUGUCGGGUAAGUUCCGACCUGCACGAAUGGCGUAACGAUCUCCACACUGUCUCGGCCAGAGACUCGGUGAAAUUGCAGUCGCGGUGAAAAUUCCGUGUACCCGCAGAAAGACGGAAAGACCCUGUGCACCUUUACUAUAGCUUGACAUUGGAUUUUGGGCCUGCAUGUGUAGGAUAGGUGGGAGGCUGUGAACCCUGUACGCCAGUAUGGGGGGAGCCAUCCUUGAAAUACCACCCUUGCAUGUUUAAGAUCCUAACUUCUUCCGGUUAUCCCGGAGAAAGACAGUGUCUGGCGGGUAGUUUGACUGGGGCGGUCGCCUCCUAAAGUGUAACGGAGGCAUGCAAAGGUUCCCUCAGCCUGAUCGGAAACCAGGCGCUGAGUGCAAACGCAUAAGGGAGCUUGACUGUAAGAGAGACAUCUCGAACAGGAACGAAAGUUGGCGUUAGUGAUCCGGUGGUCCCGAAUGGAAGGGCCAUCGCUCAUUGGAUAAAAGGUACGCCGGGGAUAACAGGCUGAUCGCAUCCAAGAGUUCACAUCGACGAUGCGGUUUGGCACCUCGAUGUCGGCUCAUCACAUCCUGGGGCUGUAGCAGGUCCCAAGGGUACGGCUGUUCGCCGUUUAAAGUGGUACGCGAGCUGGGUUUAAAACGUCGUGAGACAGUUUGGUCCCUAUCUUCUGUGGGCGAAGGAGAAUUGAGAGGGCCUGUCCCUAGUACGAGAGGACCGGGAUGGACGCACCCCUGGUGAUCCUGUUGUCGCGCCAGCGGCAUAGCAGGGUAGCUAUGUGCGGAAGGGAUAACCGCUGAAAGCAUCUAAGCGGGAAGCCUGCCUCAAGAUAAGUUCUCCCCUCGAAAGAGCUGAAGGGCCCGGGUAGACUACCCGGUCGAUAGGCUGGAGGUGUAAGCGCGGCGACGUGCUCAGCUGACCAGUACUAAUAGCCCGAGCGGCUUAUUUUU
rnacentral:rRNA from 1 species